rnacentral:hammerhead_ribozyme from 1 species
AUCCAGCUGACGAGUCCCAAGUAGGACGAAACGCGCGUUCUGGAU